AACAAAUUCCAGACAGACUUCUCUAGCAAUCGGACUCCAGCCGGAUUCCUCCAAUAGAAAGUUUCCGUCCGGGCUUCUACAGCAGAUGACUUUCGUCUGCAGCAUCAACGCCUAAGGCACCCAACAACAGUUAACCCGUCAGCAAUCUCUGAAACAUCCGAGCUUCUCUUAGAUUGCUGAGACAGAGAGCUAUUCCGCUCUACCAGACGUCCCAACCGAGCUUCGGCCGUCCGGCCCGAACUCCUCCGAUAAGUCACGACAACGAACACCACUCCACUCUCUGUAACAAACUCCACAUGGCCCCACUACUCUCCGGCAAGUUGCGACAACGGACACCACUCCACUCUUUGUAACAAACUCCACGUGGCCCCGAACGGCCCACUACAAGGCAGUUAUGGACGUCGCUGUCAAUCGGUUACGCUCUCCCAUCUAUAAAAGAGACCCCCU
rnacentral:lncRNA from 1 species